rnacentral:sRNA from 1 species
CUUCUCACAGUUUCUGCAUUGUUCAUCAAAGGAUA